GCCUUCGUGGUGUAGUUGUGAGUACGCUCGACAUCUAACUGAGAGGUCCAUGGUUCGAUUCCCGGCGAGGGCA
rnacentral:tRNA from 1 species